rnacentral:rRNA from 1 species
AACGUAGGAGACAAACGUUAUCCGGAGUUACUGGGCGUAAAGGGCGUGUAGGCGGUAGUGUAAGUCUGGCGUGAAAUUUUUCGGCUUAACCGGGAAAGGUCGUCGGAUACUGCACAACUAGAGGACGGUAGAGGCGUGUGGAAUUCCGGGUGUAGUGGUGAAAUGCGUAGAGAUCCGGAGGAACACCAGUGGCGAAGGCGACACGCUGGGCCGUACCUGACACUGAUGCGCGACAGCAUGGGGAGCAAACAGG